rnacentral:misc_RNA from 1 species
GAAAUGCGAUAAGUAAUGUGAAUUGCAGAAUUCAGUGAAUCAUCGAAUCUUUGAACGCACCUUGCGCUCCUUGGUAUUCCGAGGAGCAUGCCUGUUUGAGUGUCAUUAAAUUCUCAACCCCUCUAGCUUUUGCGAGCUACGAUGGGGCUUGGAUGUUGGGUUUGCGGGCCUUUAUUAAUAGAGGUCGGCUCUCCUGAAAUGCAUUAGCGGAACCGUUUGCAGUCCCGUCACUAGUGUGAUAAUUAUCUACACUGUGAUGAUUGCUCUCUGACUAGUUCAGCUGCUAAUCGUCCACUGUCGGACAAUAUUUAAUGAACUUCUUGACCUCAAAUCAGGUAGGACUACCCGCUGAACUUAA